CCUGAAGGGAAAACAAAUUGAGCUCCUUGUUUCUAUGCAGGACCAACACACUAGGUUGUGACCAUCUUCAGAUGUCCACCAAGCCCAAGCACCUAAGUGUUUUCUCUGGCUCCUUUCAGAGAUUUCUCUGGUUCAAGCUCAGGGAAGCUUGGCACCCAUUCUUCCAACUCUUGACUGAGCCACAGAGGGGCAGACUUCUACUGCAGGCUGCUGUAGCAAGGUUUGGAAAGAGAUCUGGAUUUCUUACCUGAGGUUCCUGGUGCAGAGAAUGAAAGGUGAGAGUAAUUCACCUCUGAACGUGGAUCUAGGAGGCUAGUUCAGAGAAAGAAAGAACACCUUUAACCACAUCUUCCAGGUGAGUUAUCACAGCAUAACCACUCCACUCCCACCCCUUUUCUUUCCCCAAGUGGCAAAACUGCUACAUUCUCUGGGUGCCCACCAUUCUCAAUCCCUACAGACCCAAAAGGAGUCAGCUAUGGGUUGCUGUCUGGCACUGACUUGCCCCCUUCUGUUUUAGUCCAUCAAAUGUCCUGAAUACUUGCUGCAAGGCACUGGUGGAGAAGGAGAUGCCCUUACAGUAAAUCCAGGCACAUAGACAGGUGCCAAGUUUGCCAAGGGUGAGAUCCUGGGGUUCGUGAUUCACUUUGUCCCUACUCUCCAACUUCACAUUUUCCCCUUUGAAACAGUCCAGUCUGGCCUCUAACACUCCAUUCCCUGCCUUAGCCUCCCAAAUGCUAUGAUUAUAGGCAUGCACCAGGACACCUUGCUUCCUAAACAAAUCAGUGACAGGGGCAGAGAAAUGAGAUUCAAACUUUGGGUUCAAUUUUAAUAUGACAAGUUUGAGAAACUCCACUCAUGACCAGUACAGCCUAAACCAGCCCCCCUCCCCAAUUCCCUUCUGCAGGAAGUUACUCAGACAACCUUUGCCUGCAUCCCACCUUUCCACAGACCAACGGCUGAAGCUUCCAUCCUCUUACAGGUUAUACAGAACCACUCUUCUGAAAAGCUACCCUCACAUCUCAUGGUCCCAACCUAGAGAUUAUGUCUGAGUCUGAAAUGUGAUGUACAUUUCAUUCAGUUGCUCUGGGGGCUGCUUGUUCAAAGUAGCAAUCAUGGAUUGGAAACCUGAUGGGUUCCCCUCACCCUGCAUGAAGCUAACCAAGGAGCUGCAAACUCUCCUUUACUUGGCCACACUCACCCACCAGACUGAGAUCUUGCUUCUCUAAAGAACUUCCAGAUGGGGUUUUUUACAGAAGCAAGGAUGGAAUUGACAUUCUGAGAUGCCUACCAAAACUGAGGAGACACUAACUACAGAGCCAUGAAAUAAAACAAACUGCUUUAUUUCCGACCCCCAUUCCAGGCCAUAUGGAAUGUGACUCAGCUCUAAGGACAAACAUCUACAGUCCUGUAGCAUGGGGUCAGCAGAGCACCACAACUCCAUUUCCUCUCCCAUUCAGAGAAGAAAGGGUUGGCUUGUAGCAGGCAAACAGAAUGGACAGGAAGGAGAUCUGGAAUCAGAUUAACCUGGCCUCAAGUCAACCUUGGCACGUCAAAAAGUCUUUCCACCUUCCUGUAUGAGAAAAUGCCUGCCCCAGGCCCACACAGAACCUAAUCUCUAAUACAUCCCAUGGGGGAGGGACCUGCUGAGGGGUUAAAAGUGUUCUGCAGUUACAUCACAGUGAUAGUUGUACAGCUGUUAAGACAUCAAAAGCACCAAACAUAAUUAAUAGUGGGAAAUUAUUAUUUUGUUUUUGUUUUUCGAGACAGGGUUUUUCAGUAGCUUUGGAGCCUGUCCUGGAACUCACUCUGUAGACCAGGCUGCCUCUGCCUACUGAGUGCUGAGAAUAAAGGCAUGUACCACCACUCCCGACCCUGGGAAAUUACUCUUACAAAUAACUCUUACAUGAAAAUUUUGUAGUACAAACGUUACAGAUUAUAGAAACGAAAACAGCUAUGACAGCACUUAAUCUUAUGGGAUGCUUGUAUAUGCAAUCCAACCUUCAUCAGAACAUUGUUAUGAAGCACAUGGCUGUACUUUGAAAGAAUAUGAUUUCAAAACAGGCCCCUGGAAGACAGUAUUGUCUGGUAUGCUAAUUUUGUCAACCUGGCACACAUGGGAAGCAAGAACCUCAAUAAAAAAUUACCUCUGUAAGACUGA